rnacentral:rRNA from 1 species
GACGAACGCUGGCGGCGUGCCUAAUACAUGCAAGUAGAACGCACAGUUUAUACCGUAGCUUGCUACACCAUAAACUGUGAGUUGCGAACGGGUGAGUAACGCGUAGGUAACCUGCCUGGUAGCGGGGGAUAACUAUUGGAAACGAUAGCUAAUACCGCAUAAUAUUAAUUAUUGCAUGAUAAUUGAUUGAAAGAUGCAAUUGCAUCACUACCAGAUGGACCUGCGUUGUAUUAGCUAGUAGGUGAGGUAACGGCUCACCUAGGCGACGAUACAUAGCCGACCUGAGAGGGUGAUCGGCCAAACUGGGACUGAGACACGGCCCAGACUCCUACGGGAGGCAGCAGUAGGGAAUCUUCGGCAAUGGACCAAAGUCUGACCGAGCAACGCCGCGUGAGUGAAGAAGGUUUUCGGAUCGUAAAGCUCUGUUGUAAGAGAAGAACGGGUGUGAGAGUGGAAAGUUCACACUGUGACGGUAUCUUACCAGAAAGGGACGGCUAACUACGUG